GACAGCCCCACCUCUCUUUCUCUCCCCUGUGGUAACCCUGAUUGGGCCCUGCCUCUCUAGGAGCUGUGUGCAAAUUCUGCCUUCCCCGGGAGUCUGAGCUGUACCAGAAAGAGGUGGCGCACCUGGGCGCCCUUGAGGAGCGGUUCUCCCGCCUCUGGACGCAAUGCCAGCGCUGCCAGGGCAGUCUGCAUGAGGACGUGCUCUGUACCAGCCGAGAUUGUCCCAUCUUCUACAUGCGGAAGAAGGUACAGAAGGAUCUGGACGACCAGGAGCAGCUCCUGGCUCGAUUCGGGCCCCCGGGCCCGGCCACCUGGUGACAGAGGACGCGGCUGUGGACGUUGGCAUCAAUAAAGCUGUGGGGCUUUGGGUUC
rnacentral:lncRNA from 1 species